rnacentral:rRNA from 1 species
ACGGAAGGCAGCAGUGAGGAAUAUUGGUCAAUGGUCGGAAGACUGAACCAGCCAAGUAGCGUGAAGGAUGACUGCCCUAUGGGUUGUAAACUUCUUUUAUGCGGGAAUAAAAAGGAUUACGUGUAGUCUGUUGCAUGUACCGCAUGAAUAAGGAUCGGCUAAUUCCGUGCCAGCAGCCGCGGUAAUACGGAAGAUCUGAGCGUUAUCCGGAUUUAUUGGGUUUAAAGGGAGCGUAGGCGGGCCUUUAAGUCAGUGGUCAAAGCGUGUGGCUCAACCAUACCACGCCGUUGAUACUGGAGGCCUUGAGUGCACAUAAGGAUGGUGGAAUUCAUGGUGUAGCGGUGAGAUGCUUAGAUAUCAUGAAGAACUCCGAUUGCGAAGGCAGCUGUCCGGGGUGUAACUGACGCUAAUGCUCGAAAGUGCGGGUAUCAAACAGGAUUAGAUACCCUGGUA